rnacentral:rRNA from 1 species
ACCGUGCAAAGGUAGCAUAAUCAUUAGUUUUUUAAUUGAAAGCUGGUAUGAAUGGUUGGACGAGAGAGCGACUGUCUCAAUUUAAUUGUAGUAGAAUUUUAUUUUUAAGUUAAAAAGCUUAAAUGAGUUUAAAAGACGAGAAGACCCUAUAGAGUUUUAUAUAUAUAUAUACAUAUAUAGGUUAGUAUUAAUAGGUAGAUGUGUAUAUGUGUAUUUUGUUGGGGUGACAAAAAAACUGAAUUAACUUUUUUUUAUAGUAUAACAUAUAUAUAUGAUUUCAUGAUCCGUUAUUAACGAUUAUAAGAUUAAAUUACCUUAGGGAUAACAGCGUAAUUUUUUUUGAGAGUUCUAAUCGAAAAGAGAGUUU